rnacentral:rRNA from 1 species
UACGUAGGGUGCGAGCGUUAAUCGGAAUUACUGGGCGUAAAGCGUGCGCAGGCGGUUGGCAAAGUCAGCUGUGAAAGCCCCCGGCUCAACUGGGGAGGGUCACGCGAUACUGAUCGACUCGAAGGCAGGAGAGGGAAGUGGAAUUCCCGGUGUAGUGGUGAAAUGCGUAGAUAUCGGGAGGAACACCAGUGGCGAAGGCGACUUCCUGGCCUGUUCUUGACGCUGAGGCGCGAAAGCUAGGGGAGCAAACGGG